rnacentral:rRNA from 1 species
AGCGAACGCUGGCGGCAGGCUUAACACAUGCAAGUCGAGCGGGUCCUUCAGGGUCAGCGGCGGACGGGUGAGUAACGCGUGGGAACGUGCCUUCUGGUUCGGAAUAACCCUGGGAAACUAGGGCUAAUACCGGAUACGCCCUUUUGGGGAAAGGUUUACUGCCGGAAGAUCGGCCCGCGUCUGAUUAGCUAGUUGGUGGGGUAACGGCCUACCAAGGCGACGAUCAGUAGCUGGUCUGAGAGGAUGAUCAGCCACACUGGGACUGAGACACAGCCCAGACUCCUACGGGAGGCAGCAGUGGGGAAUAUUGGACAAUGGGCGCAAACCUGAUCCAGCCAUGCCGCGUGAGUGAUGAAGGCCUUAGGGUUGUAAAGCUCUUUUAUCCGGGACGAUAAUGACGGUACCGGAGGAAUAAGCCCCGGCUAACUUCGUGCCAGCCGCCGCCGUAA